rnacentral:lncRNA from 1 species
CUCGCAGAAUCGAAAGUUAGUGCAGCCUCCAGAAGGGACAUUCUUCUAACGAAGUGUUCACUUGGCCCGUCAUGGGAUCCAACAGUAAUUGAAAGUUUUAUGGGCUAAAAAACAGCGUCUACAUCUGGUGCCCCUACCUGUCUUUGUGAUUUUUUAUGACUUUUAUGUUCUUGUAUCGUGAACCGCAGUGAACAACGGUUGUUGCAAGUUCCAGGGAUAUCUUUGGAAGUGGUAAACAAAUGCGUCUUAUUUCUAUGUAAUAUUAGACCCCGUGCGUGUGUGGUUUCGAGGUACAGCUCCCUAUCAACUGUUGCCGUGCAUUCCGUCGAUUUGCUUGACGUCUUUCGUCCACAUGUGCCCAGCAGUAUUCUCUAUGCUCUUGCUUUCCUGUCAUACUUCCAACUGGCACUCGUAAAACUAAUAUUACAAUUUCAUAGCCGCGCUCUGUUUUGUGAUGUACUCGUGUUUUUCUUGCACAAAUUGCAAUAACUUCGAUGGAGGAUGAACCGUAACACAAUCCCAGGAUGCCUCUUGCAUGCACAAUGAUGUCUUGUAAGCUUUCUGUAUAAUCAAACUAUUAAAAGUCAUAAUUUUUAAAGAAAAUUAUACAUAAUUCUAUUAUUUAUUUUUCGAGUUUAAGUUGUAACUUAUUGUAUGUUAAGGGAUACUAAAAGAUUAUAUCCAGUAUAAAAUAUUUAAAAAGAUAAAAUUCUCUUCUUUAUAUCUUUCAAAAUAGGAAGGAUUAAAUUGGUGAGUAUAUAAUGGAGAUUAUAAUUUUUAAAAUAUUUUUAAUGACUUGAUAGUUUUGAUUACACAGCGCUUAUAUGGAAAAUUUAAUUGCCAACAGUUUUUUGCUCAUAUAUAAAGGUUGUUUUCCUUGAUAUAGCAAUUCUUACAAUUUCCUUGGUUUUAGACCCUCCAAUACCUAUCAACUUUAAUACAGACAUUGAAUACAGUGAUGUUUGAGCAUGCUAAUUAGUGUCGUGGGGAAAGGUCAGUCUUCAUGUAUAAUUUCAUCCUAGGAACUGUUUGGUUCUCUGAAAUUAAGAGAAGUUAGAUAGUAAUCUAAGUGAGAAACACUUUCUAGAUUUCUGUUUCAUGGAUUUUAAUUUAUGAGAUUAGCGACAACAAUGACGAUGACUAGUUAUUUCUCGGCUGGCCCUGCCGCCGGGUCCAAAGCCCACGAUUGACAACCAAUGCCGACCCUAGAGCAGCUCCAACAUCCUGUGUAAACAUACCGUGUUCUUGUAAAAAUAAGAAAAUCUCAGUCAAAACUCCUCUCCUUUCUCGCUACUUCAUCUCCCUUGCUUUCGUGUCCCCUUCGCUAGGCAUCUUUGCCGAGCGGCCACAACUCGCCAUCGUCUCGCCCUCUAGCUUUCCUGCGCUCUCUUCGGCCUUGUCACUAUCGCACGAACUCUCGCUGUCCCACUCCUGCACGCGUUGUAACACCCAAAACCCAAUUUUAGGGUCUAUAAAAUUUCCCCCAAAAGAAUUGAGUUAAAAUGCCUUUUAAAAAAAUAGAUUCCUUUCUCUAUAAAGUCUAUUUCGCUAAAGUAAAUAAAUAGUGAUAUUCAAAUUUUGGUAGCUCAACAAUUAGACACUCAUAUGAAUAGUUCCGCAUGGGCAUAAGUUGAAGACUUGGUUUAGGAAAAGUCCAGGGGUCUCGGUGUAAACUGGUUUUUCUUAAAACCUUUUAAACUUUAUUAUUUAAAUGUAAACAGAGCUUGUAAAAUUCAUAACUUUAGUUUUAUUCAACCAAAUUUGGUCAAACCAAUUUUGCUAGGUUCUAAAUAAUAUGAACUACUUAGGAAAAAUACAAAACACCCUAAGUAUUGCAGAAAGUUUUAAAGUUUUGAUUUAAAUAGUAAACUAACCAAAAGCUAAAUAAAGAAGGGAAAAAUAGCUACACUCUUAGACUGGGGUUAGGAAAAAUUGGAGAGGUGCUUAACCACUACCUAGCCUGUUUUAAAAUAAUAAACCCCUCAGUACACCAGAUUAGGAAAGGGUUUACCAUUUAAACUCAUUUUGACUCAAAGUUAAAGAAAAUAGAAAAGGGAGUUUAAAAUAAGAACCAGGGGGCAACCACAUUUUUGCUAGUUUACUUCAUUCACAUAGUUCACUGGAAAUUUUUGCUAAGCCCUCUGUUAGUACAAAAGAAAUGAACUACCUUUUAUUUCAUGAAAACAAGGAGGACUUAGAAAAAUCCUAGAAAAAUAAUCCUGAGAAGAACCCACCCCAAACCUUGGGAUAACUAAUAAUAUGUUAUUAUGAAUCUAGGAAAAAUGUAAGUUCUGUUGUUUGAUAUUUUUCAAAUAACAAGUUAGUUAUAAGUACCUUUUUGGCAUUAAACUUUAGAAAAUCACAACUUAAUAUCCAGUAGGUCUUUUUCUGUGAUUUUUAACACAGAGACCUAUUAUCAUUUAGGAAUCAUGGCAAAAAUAAAAUUUAGUGCAGAAACCUCACCUAAAGCAGAGCUAUAGUGUAAAGUGCCCUUUUACCCUUUUGUUAAUUUUGCACAAGGAGUGUCUGAAUUAAUUUCAACCUCAAAUUUUUAGAAUAACCCACAGAAGUCAAUGUUUACCCACUGUAAUUUUUAUAACAUUUUUGUAAAAUGUUAACUUGCCAUGAUAGUUCAAAAAUACUUAAUAAGAAGCAUAAUAGGAGGAAAAAGGGAAAAUUUUGGGAGAACUUAAUAAGGUAUAACUAAAUCCUUCUAAGAGUCCCAUAGGACCUAAAAGAUGUAACUAGAGGUUUUAAGUUCAUUCAAAACCAUAAAGGUGAAGGUAUGAAACCCUUAAGACUAACAACGGAAACCCUAGUAUACCCCUAUUUUAAUACUGUUUCACUAUGAUUAGUAUUUCCCAAAAUGCCAUAUCAUUAAUAUGCAUACAUCUUAUUCAUUGCAUUCAAUAGACUGUAAUCUCGCUGACGGGGAAUACAUCCUCGUUCCGGAGCAAGGAGCUGCUCAGGAGGUAGCCCAGGAGCCAGCACCAGAGCCUGCCAUCGAGGAUCUGCCUGCCCCAGCUUUGGAAGGCAAGCCCCGGUUUUAUGCAUAACCUAUUCUAUAUGCUAUUUUACUACACUUAAUGUUUGUAGGUUUGUAAUGUGCACUUAAGUGUAGGAGUUGUUUGGAACCUUAGUUGCAUGAACUCAGGAUUCCUUUUGAGAUGGGUACUAGUAUGCUAGGUCGAGUAGCUGCUUUACGAAUUAGGGCUCUCGGUAGAAGUCGAGUGAUUUUCCUAGCACUCGCGCGAGGUCAGGAAUUGCUUGUAUCCAUUUAUAUAUCGUAAUGAUGAUGGUAUGUGGACAACGGUCCAUGGGGAUGCGUUGUCUACGAGACGGAAAUUGGAAUAAGGAUUAAGGUGUGGUACCGUGUGUCAAGCGUUUGAACGUACUAAGCACAUACCAAGAAAUAUGGUAAAUCGGUAAGCCUAGUACCUGAGUGAACCUGGCAGUAGAUUGCCCUCCUCACGCUGUAAGGAAAAUGGACCCCGGGCCUUUUGGCUAAUUGAGUUUUGAUGUUUGAUGAACAACACAAUCCGUGAACUAAUAAGUUUUCUAGUGUUUGUGUUUGUAGUUCACAGGAUGCGAAGAGAAUUGGACCAAGGCAAUGAGGAUGCAACACCUCAAAAGAAGACAUAAAAAGAUGCAUAAGAGUCCAAUGCUCAAGAACAAAGAAGCCCGAAGAAAUCAGCGAAGAGAUCCAACACAAGGGCUAUCAGCCAGCGCCAGGUGGCGCACCGGACAUCGGUGUCCGGUGUGCACCGGACUGUCCGGUGAGGCACCGGACAGUCUGCGCAAAGAGGCCGCAGAAAGGCGCUCUCUGGCUGUAGCACCGGACUGUCCGGUGUGCACCGGACUGUCCGGUGUGCCAACGGGCAGAAAGGCAACGGUCGGAUCCAACGGUCGACUGCUACAGGCGCCAACGGUCGGCUGACGUGGCGUGCACCGGACAUCUACUGUUCAGUGUCCGGUGGUGCACCGGACUGUCCGGUGCACCCGACGACAGAAAGCUGCUGCUUUCUGUCCAACGGCUAGUUGGGGGUGUGGAGGCUAUAAAUACCACCCCAACCGGCCAUUCUCAAGUGUGAGAGCCCAAGCAACAUACCAAGGCAUAUAUUACACAUUUCCAAGAGCUCAAACACCCAAGUGCUUAAUAGAAUCACUCGGUGAUUAGCGUAGGUGCUUUGCGAAGUGCUUAGGUUAGUUAGACCGCUUUAGCGCUUGCUCUAGGUGAAUCCUAGUUAGUUGAGUGAGUUUAGAUAAACCUCACAACCCCUCGACUCUUGCGUGAGUCGUUGUAAUUGUACCAAGUGGGGCGAGAGUCUUGCGAGACCGUGACAACCGUGUUUGUGUCACGGCCGCCACCGUGUACCGGAGGGAACGAGGCCCGCGGCGUUUCGGCCGGAAGCUCGAUAGUGGAGACGGCGGGGAGCGUCCGAGAAGAGCCGGAAGCGGAGCACCACUUGCGCGUGGAGAAGGCCCGUGGCUCUCUACGGAGUUACUCGACCGUGGUGCUUGGCCCUCGCGUGGGCUUCCCUUUGCGUAGGGGCACCAACGAGGAUUAGUCGGAACCUUGCGUGGUUCCGGAUACCUCGGUAAAAAUACCGGCGUCAUCCACGAGAGUUUGCUUCUCUACUUAGCUCUUUACAUUCCGCAUUUAUAUUAAGCAUUUAAGUUUCAAUCUUAUUGUCAUACUUAUUUAGUGUAGAUUGAAACUUAGCCUUUGCGGUAGAGAUAGCAACACUUAGACAAAACCGAGUUUGCACAUUCUAGUUUUGAUUAUUUGCAUAGGUUUUGCUCUAGGGAUUUAAUUGUGGCCUAGUUUAGUAAAAGUUUUAGAAGUCCUAAUUCACCCCCCCCCUCUUAGGCGUCACCCGUUUCCUACAAGUGGUAUCAGAGCCGGUUUGGCUCAUUUGAAACGCUUUAGCUUCACCGCUAAAAGAGCCGACGCUUUUUAGAGGAAGGGAUGGAUACCCAUAGGCCACCACACUUUGACGGCACUAACUUCCCAUAUUAUAGUGCUAGAAUGGCUUGUUACCUAGAGGCCGUUGAUCUAGGUGUUUGGAGAGUUACUCGUGACAGGAUGAAACCUCUCAAGAAUCCCGAGAAACCCACCACGAGUGAGGAAAAAGAAAUUCAUUUAAAUGCUAGAGCCAAAAAUUGCUUGUAUGAAUCUCUUAGCAUGGAUAUUUUCAAUCAAGUAUUUACCUUGAAAACUGCUAAUGAGAUUUGGCUAAAAUUGCAUGAGCUCCAUGACGGCACAUCCAAUGUCCGUGAGCAAAAACAUUGCCUAGUCUUAAAUGAGUAUAAUUCUUUUGCUAUGAAAGAUGAUGAGCUUGUUAGAGACAUGUAUUCUCGUUUGAAUCUAAUAAUCAAUGAGCUCAAUUCUAUUGGCAUUAAUAAGCUAGGUGAUGCGGACAUUGUGAGGAAGAUUAUCUCCCUGCUACCACAACAAAAAUAUGGGAGCAUCAUCACCAUCCUUCACAACAUGGAGGACUUAAGCAACAUGACCCCGACCAUUGUGAUUGGGAAAAUCGCGGCCUUUGAGAUGUCGCGAAAAAUGAAUCGGGGAGAGGAGCCAACUUCCUCAAGACCAUAUGCUUUUGCAUGUGAUGAAAGGAAGGGCAAAAAGAAGGCUCCCACUCCAAGUUCCUCAAGUGAAGAAGAGGAAGAAGAAGAAAGUGAUGAUGAUGAAGAUAGUCAACCAUGCACAUCAUCCUCCGAGGACGAAGAAACGAUCCGACGCGUCGGAAAGGUAAUGGGGAUGAUCCGCAAGAUUAAUCUAAUGGGUGUGCCCCUGCAGGUCGAGGAUCUUCUCUUUAACAUUGACAGGAAAAAGCAAAGGAAGAGAGGAUGCUUCGCAUGUGGGGAGAAGGGCCACUUCAGGGACAACUGUCCAAAUAUGGCCAAACCCAAAAAGGAGAGGAGCAAAGGCAAGGCGCUCACAAGUGUUAGAACUUGGGAUGACUCUUCAAGUGAAGAUGAACCUUCAAGGACGCGCAGCCACCGGUCCUCGUCACGAUCAUCACGGUCAUCACACAAAUGCCUUAUGGCAAGAGGUAACAAAAGCAUUCCAUCCUCUAGUGAUGAACGUAGUAGUGAUGAUGAAGGUGAGGGAAAGGCCUCUCUAGAAGAACUUGCGGAAGCCGUUAAUUUUUUCCAGGAUGUUUGCACUAAGCAAAAAGCUCAACUUAAAACUUUGAAAAAUAAGUUGGUUAGCUCUCAAAAUGAUUACAAAGGUUUGCUAGAAAAAUUUGAAACUUUUGCAAACUUAAAUAGUGAGCUAUCAACUAAAAUUGAGCUAUUGGAAUCUAGUGCUCCACCCACUGCUACCGAUGAUGGCCUUAUUAAAAAGAAUGAAAAACUUAAAGCUAAGUUAGCUAGCUCCCAAGAAGCUAUUGAAAAUUUGCUAGAGAAAAUGGAAAUUCUUAGCAUACACAACAAUGAGCUAACUACUAAGCUAGAAAACAUUGGUAGCACCCCAGCAGCAUCUUUAGUUGAAAUACCUGAAAUAAUUAAGAAAGAUGCUUCUACUUCCUGCUUUGAUUUAAUUGAUGAUUCUAACCCCUGCAACCAAGUUGUUGUUGAGAAUAUUGUUGUAGAGACAUGUUCUGAUGAGGUUGCGAAGGAAAAUGAACAAUUAAAGCAAGAAGUGGCUCGUCUUGGCAAGGCUUUGUAUGACAAGAAAGGCAAAGCCAAACAAAUCCGACCUCCACAGGAUAACACCACUGCGGGAGUGAACAAGCCUGUAGAGGGAGAAACUGUGAUUUGUAGGCUAUGUCACAUGGAAGGCCACAAGUCUUUCCAAUGCAAGGCGAUGACCGGGGAUAAACAAAGGCAAAAGCUCAAGCAAAAGCCAUCAAGCAAAAUCUCCAACACCUACAUCAAAAAGGUGAACAAAAAGGAUGCUACACCAUAUUUGAUCAAGAAGAAAAAGAAUGGAAAGGUGAUAGCAAUCAAGGCCAACAAGCAAGCCAACAAAGGAAAGGGGGCCAAACGCAUCUGGGUGCCAAAGGAGAUAAUUUCAACCAUGAAAAGCACCAAGAAGGUUUGGAUCCCGAAAGGGAAGUGAGUGGACCGAAGGUAAUCGGGAAAUUUGGAGACUUGGCUAAAUUGGGAUGUAUAUCAUGGGAUACAUCAUAUUGGAUCAAGUUUAUUGCCAAGUGGGUUAGUGAAAACUUUGGACCCAAAUUUCCCACCCAUGACUAAGGUAACUAGCUUUAUUGUAUUCUUUUACGAUUGGUAUCUAUUUAUCUUUUAUCUAGUUUACCUUUCUUGCCUAGUAUUACAUUUUGUUAUGUACUUUUGUUCAAAAAUCACGCAUACUAGGUAAAUCAUAUGGUAGGAUUGCUUGUUUUUAAUUCAUAUACUUAAGCAAACCUACAUGGCUUAAAAUGAUUAUUUAAGCACGGCACAUAGCUUUUAUAUCACUCCAUAGUAAAUGAUGCAUCAAUUGAAAAUUUUGAUCUUUACAAAGUGUAUCAUUUAACUUUUAUGUGCCAAAGUUAGGAUUAUGGAUAAUUUGCCCCUCUUGAUAUCAAAUCAAAGUGCAUGUCUCCUACAAGUAUUCAAAACUUGUAUGCACACCUUUAGGGGGAGGUUACUCUAUAAUCUAACACUUUGAGACUAACACCUUUUCAAGUCUAUUUCAUGUGAUAGUCUCAUUGUAAGGAAAAAUAAGGUCCCCGGAGAAAGACAACAAUCUUCCACUGCAAAAUCUCCAAGAACUCUCAUGUCUCUCAAGCUCGCCAUUGAUCUUCAAUUGGUAUCUUUUGAGACUACAUUCAGUAUCAUUUACAUGUCUUCUCUAAUAUUUGAUUAGACUAUAUUUCAUAUCACAUACUUCCUUGUUGCUAAAAAUGCAUAAGUGGUUAACUCAUAUUCUGUUACCUAUGCAUAAGGGAAGUUAGUCUUUUCAAAUCAUGUCUUGCACCUCUAAUUUUCACAUGCUUUUUCCUAAGUAGAGGAUCUCUGUCAGGGGGAGUAUUUCUUCAUCUCUAAAGGGGGAGAAAAACUCUUUCUAAAGGAGAAUACUCAUUUAAGGGGAGUAAUCUUUUGAGGAACUCCUACACGUGGUAUCUUUCAUGGUCUUCAAGUGGUAUCUUUCAUGGCUUAAUUUAAUAUCCUUCUAGUGAUAUCAUUUGAUACAAUUCCUGUUGAGGGCAAGCUUUUAUUUACUUCCUACAUGCUUUUAAUGUCUUCCUUUUCGGUGGUUGAUGCCAAAGGGGGAGAAGUUUAGGGGCCAAAGCAAUGAAAACUAUAUCAAACACCAAACACCACCAAUUUUAAAUUUUAUAUCUACAAAUGGCUUUUUAAGUGGUUUUGGUAUUUGGUCCAAAAAUAGGAAGUAAGUGAAUUAUGGAGUUAGGGGGAGACUUAAGUCCAUAAUAUCACAUUGUGGGGAUAAUCAUGCAUCCUAGCAAGUAGAUUGCAUAUUUUCACUCAAAUACUUGCAUUAUUUGCUUGCUUUGGUUGUGUUGUCAUCAAUCACCAAAAAGGGGGAGAUUGUAAGGAAAAUGGACCCCGGGCCUUUUGGCUAAUUGAGUUUUGAUGUUUGAUGAACAACACAAUCCGUGAACUAAUAAGUUUUCUAGUGUUUGUGUUUGUAGUUCACAGGAUGCGAAGAGAAUUGGACCAAGGCAAUGAGGAUGCAACACCUCAAAAGAAGACAUAAAAAGAUGCAUAAGAGUCCAAUGCUCAAGAACAAAGAAGCCCGAAGAAAUCAGCGAAGAGAUCCAACACAAGGGCUGUCAGCCAGCGCCAGGUGGCGCACCGGACAUCGGUGUCCGGUGUGCACCGGACUGUCCGGUGAGGCACCGGACAGUCUGCGCAAAGAGGCCGCAGAAAGGCGCUCUCUGGCUGUAGCACCGGACUGUCCGGUGUGCACCGGACUGUCCGGUGUGCCAACGGGCAGAAAGGCAACGGUCGGAUCCAACGGUCGACUGCUACAGGCGCCAACGGUCGGCUGACGUGGCGUGCACCGGACAUCUACUGUUCAGUGUCCGGUGGUGCACCGGACUGUCCGGUGCACCCGACGACAGAAAGCUGCUGCUUUCUGUCCAACGGCUAGUUGGGGGUGUGGAGGCUAUAAAUACCACCCCAACCGGCCAUUCUCAAGUGUGAGAGCCCAAGCAACAUACCAAGGCAUAUAUUACACAUUUCCAAGAGCUCAAACACCCAAGUGCUUAAUAGAAUCACUCGGUGAUUAGCGUAGGUGCUUUGCGAAGUGCUUAGGUUAGUUAGACCGCUUUAGCGCUUGCUCUAGGUGAAUCCUAGUUAGUUGAGUGAGUUUAGAUAAACCUCACAACCCCUCGACUCUUGCGUGAGUCGUUGUAAUUGUACCAAGUGGGGCGAGAGUCUUGCGAGACCGUGACAACCGUGUUUGUGUCACGGCCGCCACCGUGUACCGGAGGGAACGAGGCCCGCGGCGUUUCGGCCGGAAGCUCGAUAGUGGAGACGGCGGGGAGCGUCCGAGAAGAGCCGGAAGCGGAGCACCACUUGCGCGUGGAGAAGGCCCGUGGCUCUCUACGGAGUUACUCGACCGUGGUGCUUGGCCCUCGCGUGGGCUUCCCUUUGCGUAGGGGCACCAACGAGGAUUAGUCGGAACCUUGCGUGGUUCCGGAUACCUCGGUAAAAAUACCGGCGUCAUCCACGAGAGUUUGCUUCUCUACUUAGCUCUUUACAUUCCGCAUUUAUAUUAAGCAUUUAAGUUUCAAUCUUAUUGUCAUACUUAUUUAGUGUAGAUUGAAACUUAGCCUUUGCGGUAGAGAUAGCAACACUUAGACAAAACCGAGUUUGCACAUUCUAGUUUUGAUUAUUUGCAUAGGUUUUGCUCUAGGGAUUUAAUUGUGGCCUAGUUUAGUAAAAGUUUUAGAAGUCCUAAUUCACCCCCCCCCCUCUUAGGCGUCACCCGUUUCCUACACACGCGACCUGAGACGUGGUUUCCCAUUCCGGUUAUGGUGGGUACAAGUGCGGUCACUGCACGAUGACAGUCAGGGUCAGUGAGGCAUUGUACGCUAAGGCGGUGAGCCCCUCUCUACUGACGGGGAAUCGAUGGGGACGGUUGAUAUGUGUGGGGACAGAGUGCCUCGCCACCUCGUGUGUUUAGGUUUACCUUGCAAGGUUUAAAAACUCGAUUCGAAUCGUCUGCUUCUCGUAGCUAAUGAGACUGCUUGAUCCAUGCUGCUACAUUGAGUAACAAGUGGAAAUGUGUUGAUUUGGCAAAAGAUGUUGAUUGCUAAAUGCUUGAUACGAUGUAUGAUUAGCUAGGUACACAUUUAGUCUUAAGAGAGUCACAGUAAAACUUGAAAACCUAAAACUUGAUUUUAGACUCAGCUAGUGCUUUUUGGCAAACCAAACCCCUCAGCCAAAUAGUUGCAUGUCUAGAGGUAGAGGAGUAGACUCCUCACACCGAGUAAGUAUAGCUGAGUAUUAGUGUACUCAGCCUUGCUUGUGGCAUAAAUUUUUACAGGUUCUCUGGAGGACAUGGUUGCUGGAGUGACUUGGUCGUCCAUCUUGCCACCGGGUUGGACAGUCGAGUGGGACCCUACCUCGGCCGAGGAGGAGCAUGAGGAGUGAUGGGACAUGCUUCCCCAUCCCUCCGUUUAUUUACCAUUAGUUAUAUUCUGCUGUAUUCCGAACAAUGAUCACUACUUUUGAUAAACUCUGAUAAUGUGGUAAUAAAUUAAGUACUCCUCAAUGUAUGGUUUUAUGCCUUAUUGUAUUUGCUAUGUGACUCACCUUUGAGUGAGUACGUGGUACUUGAUCCUGUUAGUGGCCUCGUCGGACUAGAUCCGAGGGACUGACGUUUUAUUCCUAUUUAAGUGUGGUCUAGCCUCUAAGGUGGGGCUUAGGCACUUAAGUUGGAAUAACUCAGGCGGUUCCGCCACAAUUACUGUCUUUAGAAGAAGUGAUGAUUCAAUAGCAUUUAAAGGAGUGUUAGAGGGUCAGCUAUAUUUAAUUGAUUUUAAUGAGAACACAGCUGAACUCAACACUUGUUUAAUUGCUAAGACUAAUAUGGGUUGGCUCUGGCAUCGCCGACUAGCCCAUGUUGGGAUGAAGAAUCUUCACAAGCUUCUAAAGGGAGAACACAUUUUGGGACUAACAAAUGUUCAUUUUGAGAAAGACAGGGUUUGUAGUGCAUGUCAAGCAGGAAAGCAAGUUGGUACCCACCAUCCACACAAAACAUAAUGACAACGGACAGGCCACUGGAACUACUCCACAUGGAUCUAUUCGGCUCGAUAGCUUACAUAAGCAUCGGCGGGAGUAAGUAUUGUCUAGUAAUUAUGGAUGACUAUUAUCGCUUCACUUGGGUGUUCUUUUUACAGGAAAAAUCACAAACCCAAGAGACCUUAAAGGGAUUCUUGAGAUGGGCUCAAAAUGAGUUCGAAUUAAGGAUCAACAAAAUAAGAAGUGACAAUGGGACGGAGUUCAAGAACUCCCAAAUCGAAGGCUUUCUUGAGGACGAGGGCAUCAAGCAUGAUUUCUCUUCUCCCUACACACCUCAACAAAAUGGUGUAGUGGAGAGGAAGAAUAGAACUCUACUGGACAUGGCGAGGACCAUGCUUGAUGAGUACAAGACACCGGAUCGGUUUUGGGCGGAAGCAAUCAACACUGCUUGCUACUCCAUCAACCGGUUAUAUCUUCAUCGAAUCCUCAAGAAGACAUCAUACGAACUCCUCACCGGUAAAAGCCCAAUGUUUCAUAUUUUAGAGUCUUUGGUAGCAAAUGCUUUAUUCUUGUUAAAAGAGGUAGAAAAUCUAAAUUUGCUCCUAAGGCUGUAGAAGGUUUUUUACUUGGUUAUGACUCAAACACAAGGGCAUAUAGAGUCUUCAACAAAUCCACUGGAUUAGUUGAGGUUUCUUGUGACAUUGUGUUUGAUGAAACUAAUGGCUCCCAAGUGGAGCAAGUUGAUCUUGAUGAGCUAGAUGAUGAAGAGGCUCCAUGUGUCGCUCUAAGGAACAUGUCCAUUGGGGAUGUGUGUCCUAAGGAAUCCGAAGAGCCUUCACAAGCACAAGAUCAACCGUCAUCUUCCAAUCAAGCAUCCCCUCCAACUCAAGAUGAGGAUCAGGCUCAAAACAAUGAAGAUGGAGAUCAAGAGAAUGAGCCACCUCAAGAGGAGGACAAUGAUCAAGGGGGAGAUGAAGUUGAUCAAGACAAGGAAGAUGAUCAGGAGAUUUAGGGUCAAAGACCGCCACACCCAAGAGUCCACCAAGCAAUUCAACGAGAUCACCCCGUGAACUCCAUUCUCGGUGAUAUCCAUAAGGGGGUAACUACUAGAUCUCGAGUUGCUCAUUUUUGUGAACAUUACUCUUUCGUCUCCUCUAUUGAGCCAUACAGGGUAGAGGAUGCACUAAGAAGUUCGGAUUGGGUGAUGGCUAUGCAAGAGGAGCUCAACAACUUCACGAGGAAUGAGGUAUGACAUUUAGUUCCACGUCCUAACCAAAAUGUUGUAGGAACCAAGUGGGUAUUCCGCAACAAGCAAGAUGAGCAUGGUGUGGUGACAAGGAACAAAGCCCGACUUGUGGCCAAAGGAUAUUCACAAGUCAAAGGUUUGGACUUUGGUGAAACUUAUGCACCCGUAGCUAGGCUUGAGUCAAUUCGUAUAUUACUUGCCUAUGUUAUUUACCAUGGCUUUAAGCUUUAUCAAAUGGACGUGAAAAGUGCCUUCCUCAAUGGACCAAUCAAGGAAGAGGUCUAUGUUGAGCAACCUCUCGGCUUUGAAGAUAGUGAGUACCCUAACCAUGUUUAUAAACUCUUAAAGGCGCUUUAUGGGCUCAAGCAAGCCCCAAGAGCAUGGUAUGAAUGCCUACAAGAUUUCCUUAUCACUAAUGGCUUCAAAGUCGGUAAAGUCGAUCCUACUCUCUUUACUAAAACCAUUGCAAAAGAUUUGUUUGUAUGCCAAAUUUAUGUUGAUGAUAUCAUAUUUGGGUCUACUAACAAAUCAACUUGUGAAGAGUUUAGUAGGAUCAUGAUUCAAAAAUUCGAGAUGUCUAUGAUGGGGGAGUUGAAGUAUUUCCUAGGAUUUCGAGUCAAGCAACUCCAAGAGGGCACCUUCAUCAGCCAAACAAAAUACAUUCAAGACAUACUUACCAAGUUUGGAAUGAAGGAUGCCAAGCCCAUCAAGACACCCAUGGGAACAAAUGGGCAUCUCGACCUCGACACGGGAGGUAAAUCCGUAGAUGUAGAUCAAAAGGUAUACCGGUCGAUGAUAGGAUCUCUACUUUAUUUAUGUGCAUCUCGACCGUAUAUUAUGCUUUCCAUAUGCAUGUGUGCAAGGUUCCAAGCCGAUCCUAAAGAAGUUCACCUUAGGGCCGUGAAAAGAAUCAUGAGAUAUUUAGUUUACACUCCUAAGUUUGGACUUUGGUACCCCAAGGGAUCCACUUUUGAUUUAAUAGGAUAUUCAGAUGCCGAUUGGGCAGGGUGUAAAAUUGAUGGAAAGAGCACAUCAGGGACUUGUCAGUUUCUGAGGAGAUCCCUGGUGUCUUGGGCUUCAAAGAAACAAAACUCCGUAGCUCUUUCUACCGCCGAAGCCAAGUACAUUGCCGCAGGCCAUUGCUGUGCGCAAUUAAUUUGGAUGAGGCAAACCCUCAGGGACUAUGGCUACAAAUUGAGCAAAGUCCCUCUCCUAUGUGACAAUGAGAGUGCAAUCCACAUGGCGGAUAAUCCCGUUGAACACAGUCGCACUAAGCACAUAGACAUUCGGUAUCACUUUUUGAGGGAUCACCAACAAAGGGGAGAUAUCGAGAUUGCUUAUGUUAGCACCAAAGAACAAUUAGCCGAUAUCUUUAUCAAACCAUUAGAUGAGAAAACCUUUACCAAACUUAGGAAUGAGCUAAACAUUCUUGAUUCUCGGAAUUUUGAUUGAAAUAUUGCACACAUAGCUCAUUAUAUAUCUUUGAUCAUAUCCCUUUCAUGACUACGACUAAUGUGUUUUUCAAGUGUAUUUCUAUGCUAAGUCGUAGAUUGAAAGGGAAAUGGAGUCUUCGGCGAAGACAAGGCUUCCACUCCACUCUAUCGGUAUCAUUUACCCUUCGCCGUCCCUCCACACCACUCUUCGAUUGGUAUAAUCUUCACUCAUAUUUCAUUUACCAAUGGAGGAGCAAAUAAAAAGGGGCUCACAAAGUCUCCAUUUUUGGCGAUUAAUGUCAAAGGGGAUAAAGUAUUAGCCCAAAGCAAACGGAUCGCACCAUCGAAAAUUUUAAAAUUAAUAUAUUUCAAAUUGGUAUGUUGAUUUUCAAUUGGUAUAUUUUCAAAACUAUCAUCUAAAUAUACUUCCAAUUGGUAUCUAUUAAAACCCUCUUGAAAGCUAAGAGAAGAAUUUCAUUCAGGGGGAGUUUUGUUUAAGUCAAAGAAAAAGCAUUUGAAAAGGAGGAGAAAAUUUCAAAUCUUAAAAAUGCUUCUCGAAAUCUUAUUCAUAUACCUUUGACUAUUUGCAAAAAGAUUUUGAAAAGACUUUCCAAAAGAAUUUACAAAAACAAAACAAGUGGUCCAAAAUGUUAAAAGAAAGAAAGCAAUCCAUGCAUAUCUAGUGAAAGUAUAAAUUGGUUUAAUUCUAAGUAACCUAUGCACUUACCUUAUGCAAACUAGUUCAAUUCUGCACUUAUAUAUUUGCUUUGGUUUGUGUUAGCAUCAAUCACAAAAAGGGGGAGAUUGAAAGGGAAAUAGGGUUUAACCUUUUCCUAUAAAUAAUUUUGGUGGUUGAAUGCCCAACACAAAUAUUGGACUAACUAGUUUGCUCUAGAUUGUAUAUUCCACAGGUGCAUAAAGGUUCAACACAAACUAGGGAUGGCAAUCGGGCGGGUAGUACACGGAUAUAUAGUUCGUGAAUCCAUACCCACGAGACAAAACUCAACCCAUACCCGUACCCAUAAACGUUCGUGGGUAUGGAUCUGUAUCCAUACCCGUACCUGCCGGGUAUCCGCUAUCUAGUGGAUACCUGUUACCCGCCCGCCCACUACAAUUUUAGCAUUAAACACCAAACAACAAUUUUAUUAUAUUUCAAAAUAAUUAUCAUUCUAAUAGCAUUAAAUGAUAAUUUCAGCACCAAACAACAUGUUAUGGAUAAAAGUUGAAAAAUAAGAAUUUAUGGUAAUAUAUAAAUCCGGAUGGCCCACAUGUUAGAUAUCCAUUGGGUAACGGGUAUGGAUACUAGAUAUCCAUACCCGCGAAAAAAUAUCCGCGGAUACCUUAUUAUAUCCAUAACCGUACCCGCGGAUAUCAAAUUCCACCAUACCAAUAUCCAAUGGAUAAUUAUCCGCAGUUAUUUACCCAUACCCGUACCCAUUGCCAUCCCUAACACAAACCAAUAAAAGAUCAAAGUUAGGGUUCAAAAGCAAAGGAGCAAAGAAACCGAGUAUGCCCUGGUCUGGCGCACCAGACUGUCCGGUGUGCCACCGGACAGUGACCGGUGCACCAGGACUGUACAGCGUCCAACUCUCCACUCUCGGGUUUCUCAGGCCGCGCUCCGCUAUAAUUCAUCGGACUGUCCGGUGCGCCACCGGACUGUCCGGUGCACCAGUGGAGCAACGGCUACUUCGUGCAACGGUCGACUGCAAAAGCCACUGACUCCGUGAACAGCGAAGAAUAGUGUGCGUAGAAGUCAGAGCAGUCGCCAGAGGCACUCCGGACAGUGAACAGUACCUGUCCGGUGCCACUAGAAGACAAAGGCUCCAACGGUCGACUGCGCCCAAACCCUAACGGUUGGGUGACGUGGCUGGCACACCGGACAGUGUCCGGUGGCGCACCGGACUAUUCGGUGUGCCCAUCGACAUGAGCCCUCCCCAACGGUUGUUUGGUGGUUGAGGGCUAUAAAUACCCCUCAACCACUUCCACUCUAACCAUCCAAGCAUUCAUCACACUUCAUUCAAUACAAGAGCAAAAGUGCACCACUCCAAGACACAAAAUCAAAGCCCUUGAUCCAAUCAAAGUCCCCAAUUCAAUUCUAGUGCUUUAGGACUUGUGAGAGGAUCGUUCUUGUGUUUCUUUGUUGCUCUUGUUGUUUGGUUGGCUUUCUUCUUUCUCUCAUUCUUAUUCUCAAAGCCUUGUAAGCGAAGAAAGAGACACCAAUCGUGUGGUGGUCCUUGCGGGGUCUAAGUGACCCGGGAAAUUAAGGAAGAAAGCUCACUCGGUCUAGGUGACCGUUUGAGAGAGGGAAAGGGCUGAAAGAGACCCGGUCUUUGUGACCACCUCAACGGGGACUAGGUUCUUUAGAACCGAACCUCGGUAAAACAAAUCACCGUGUUCAUCCGCUUUAUUUCUUGGUUGAUUUGCUUUCCUCUCUCUCCCGGACUUGAUAUUUGUUCUAACGCUAACCCCGGCUUAUAGUGUGUUUAAAGUUGUAAAUUUCAGUUUCCGCCUAUCCACCCCCCUCUAGGCGACUUUCAAAUGGAUAAUAAAAUUUGACCCACUUAUUAAAAGCAAUGAUUAGCUUUAACCAUUAUUUAUUGAUCAGCCUUACACUACACAUGAGCCCCACUGUAAGUGAGCUCAUGCAUAUUAUUCCCCACACUUGUUGAGCGAUGAACUUUUGUGAGCUCACUCUUGCGAUAACCCCACAAGUGAAGAGCACGUGGCCCCAGAGGAAUACUACUAUGACGAGUUCAACGAGGUCUAGGUGGCGUUUCUCAGUCAGCUUGAUGGUACCGAGAAAAUAAUAUUAGUUCAAUUUAUAUAUUAUCAUUUAUUUUGUAAGACAUUUCUGCUAUGUAAUAAAGUCUGUAACAUUUAUCUCUAUACACUGAGUCAUUGUAUGUGUUAGUUUUCUUGGCGCACAUAUGAGACGCACCCGGGUUUGCCCCUUAAAUCUGGAUGUGACAGAAGAUAUGGCCAAGAAUUUGACCGUCUAACCUUUAACGGGUGACACAAAAUAUAUGACGAAUUUUUGGUACCUUAGGGGGCAUUUGGUUCCCACGGCUAAAGUUUAGUUCACGUUACAUCAAUUACAUUUAUUAAAUAUAGAUUAAAUUAUAUUUAAUAAAAUUAUCUCGUCUUUUAGUCUUAUCUCUGUAAUUAGUUUUAUAAUUAAAUUAUAUUUAAUAUAUAUAAUUAUCAUUUAAACACUCAAUGUCGUAUGAACUAAAUGUUAGUGGGUCAAAUCAAACGCCCCUUAGUUAUAUAAUCAAACAAGUCCUUAGAUCAUGUUUGUUUCCUUUUAAGAUCAUGUAAUCUAACUUAUGAAUUAUAUAAGCACCUAAUAAACCACUUAUGAAUUAUCAUAAUAUAGACAUUUAGAUUAUAUAAUCCAUCUAAUAAGGGUUGUUUGUUUUGAAUUAUAAUCUAUCUAGAUUAUAUUAUCUAAUAGUUUAAAAUUUUAUGAUUAUAUAAUCUAGAUAUAUUAUAAUCUAAAAUAAAUACCUCUAAUUUAAGUUGUUUGUUUGAUUUUUAAUUUAUUUAAGCUGGAUUCGUAAACAAACAGCCACUGAUUGCUGCUCGACGGUCUCCCGUGAUCUGAUAAUAACAAAACCUGUAGGCUGUAGCCCAACGAGAGGAAUCAAAUUGGACAACCCUGUCGCCCUCUCGGUCUCCCUCGAGCUUUUCUUGUGCGCAGCCGCAGCCGCUGCUUUUCGUUCGUCUUCAUCCUACGCGAGGGCGAAACCCACAAACCCUCUCCCUCCUGUACUCCGGCCGACACAUCCAGGGGCGAUGACGCUGGGUAGCUCCGGCGCCGGAUCGAGCGUCGUCGGUAAGUAACCUACUCACCCAUCCCUUUUUUUUCAUGCCGUGGAUCUUCCGAUCGGAUCCGGUCUUUGGUCGACCUUGCGCGGGAUGCGCGUGCCCCGAUCUGCCCCGGGCUUAUCUGAUUCGACUAUGGCUGGAGAGGAAUAUGUAUGUGGUGCUUUUUUUCGGGCUGGAUUGGACCGAUUGUUCUAUUGGAUACUGCGGCGUGGAUAGACUAUAUGUGUUUUUAUUUCUGCCGAGUUGGACUAAUUGCUAGAGAUUCGACUGGUCCUACAUGCAUGCAAGAUUGACAGUCCUGUGAAUGCUUUAUACUGGUUCAGAAGCGGUGUUAAUUUUGCCAUGUUCUUUAACUAGGCAUUUCGUAUCUAGACAGGUGAAUGGAGGCACUCGUACCUGAUAUAUACUUUAAUCAAUUUAAUAAAUUAUAGUUCAUAUUGCAUGAAUAAAGGAUUAGGGAUGGAGAUUGAGGGUUUAUUAUUGUGAUAGCAGUGCAACUGGUUCGUUUGAGUUAUUGAGAAAAUAAAGCAAUGCAUUCUCUUAAUCAUGAAAAUGGCAGUACUUGAAGAAAAUUUUCUUGGUUGAGUUUUUGCCUGAAGGUUGGCAGUUGAUCUAUUUGUCAUCCUUGUGCUGCCAUGGUGUUUUGAUCAUCCUUGUUCUAGCGAAGGGCAGACCUAGUAUAGUGGUGAGAGCUGUCUCACUCAUGUGGGAGUUGCCAGCACUUGGGUCUGUCUUUUUUUUUGAGGUCUCUCAUUCUAGGCAGACUGAUUUGCACAAAGAAUGAUGCAUGCAAAAUAUCUACAUGCUAUCUGUUCUAAGACUACUAAUCCUUGUUUUGGCUAUGUUUGUGUUUCUGUUAUUUUUUUAUCUGCAUAGGUUGAGUGUCGGUCAUCUUGUUCUCAUUAGGCUGUCUCCAGCAACGAAUAUUCUCUGUCCUUUACAGAACCCUCUAAAAAAAUUCGUCCUCUAUAUCUUCGCCAUCUCCAGCAACGUCCUCUAAAUUCGGUACUCUAUAUCUACAGUGAUAACAAAAUUCAUAUACUCAUUUUUUAAUAAUCAUUUUUUCAUAUUAAUACAAUUUGAACUUAUGUGCGUAAUGGAAAAAUGAAGUUAUUUAUUUCUAGAAAUUUUAUAAGAAUGAAUUAGGAACUAAUUAUAAUAAUUACAUUUUGCAACCGACAUUGCUAAUCGUUUUUUCAUAACGAAAAAACUACAGUCUACGUACAUGUCUAUAUACAUAUUGGACAUAAACUGGUAAUACUAAUCUAAUAAUCCUAGUUAGCAAAAGUGCUGCUACUAUUAGGUUUACACAAAAAAAAAGAAUAGAAUUAAUCGGACUCUUAGCGGAGGUAGCUGAGCAGACGAACAACCACAUUGAAGAGUGGGCCCCAGGCUGAGCAGGCGGAUAGCGCGCGCAAGGAGACGCUCUACGCUUAGCGUUCGCCGUACACACUCUAUAUUUUACCGAUCUUUUUACAGUACCUUGUUGGAGACGGUAGAGAACGUUUCACACUCUAAAUUUAGAGUACAAAACCAUUUAGCGUCUAUUGUUGGAGCCCAUGUCCUUAUUCCACUUUAGUUCAAUGCUUUUUCUCUAGUGUUGCUUGCUGUUUUAUAUAAGAAAGUCCUUACAGUAAACUAAACUGACAUAGGAGGAACUAGGUGCAUUACAAAUAUUAAGACAUAGACACUCAAAUUUGUGCAAAAAGAAGACUUGAGCUUUAGUAGUGCGGGGUGUAUGUCCAUAUCUCCCACCAACUGAGCUAGGCUUGUAGUUCCUGUUUUUGUAACAUAUAAGAUUCAUUUAGUAGAGUACUAGUAGAAUUCAUUGCAUUACCUGCUUGCGUAACUGACAAAUGUUAAAAAUGCAGUUCCUCGAAACUUCAGGCUAUUAGAGGAGCUCGAGCGUGGAGAGAAGGGCAUUGGUGAUGGGACAGUGAGCUAUGGAAUGGAUGAUGCUGAUGACAUCUACAUGCGGUCAUGGACUGGUACCAUCAUUGGCCCUCACAAUGUGAGAACACAAUCUCAUCCUCUUUAUCUUUCCUGUGCCUUUAUUUAAUUAAGGUUAGGCACGCACAACUGCCAACUACUAGUACUCUGCUGCAAUUAUAGCAUGCAAAGAGUCCUCGUUUCACCCAACCAUCGAGCUGUUUGACCUUUAAUAGCAUGGAGAAAAGGAUGGUGACGACAAUGGUUGUAGAUUGAUGCAUAUAUAUGAUUAACCAUGGUAGUUCUUUCUCCUAAAAUCUAAAUAAAUAAAUUUGUGGAUAUUCCAUUUUUACAUCACAUCACAAUAAAACUGCUUGGGACAUGUGCAAUCCUUGAGUAUUCAACCAUCUGUAGGUCUUCUCUAACAACAGCGCAGUCUUUUCCAUAGAGUUACUUCUCUUGGCUAUCUAAUUUGUUUCCACGUCCAACAACAUUUCUCUUUGUCAGACUGUACAUGAGGGUCGCAUCUACCAGCUGAAGUUGUUUUGUGACAAAGACUAUCCGGAGAAGCCACCAUCUGUCAGAUUCCACUCAAGAAUCAACAUGACAUGCGUUAAUC